GGAAGCCAUGAUAGAAGCCGUGGGCAAGGUCCUGGGCACGGCCGAGGAAGCCCCGUGCUGCACCGUCUGCGAGUCCUCCUGCUCCUGCUGCGUCGCCAGUCACCCGCUGGAGAACCACAAGAACGAGGGCGUCGUGCUGACCAAGGAGCACGACAGCAGCCCCUGACGCCAGGAUCUGUGACAUCCUUCGAGCUGAGUAGAAUGAGGAAUAAGAAAGAAAGAAAGAAAAAAACGAAGAUAAUAGGACCGAAUUAAACCCUUUCUUGUUAUUAAAGAAAAAAAAAACAAUGAUUAAGAUAAUAAAACCGAAAUAAAACCCUUAUUAAAACAACAACAACAAAAACAAUGAUUAAGAUAAUAGAACCGAAAUAAACCCUUCUUAAAUAAACAACAACAAAAACAGUAAUAAACAGAAUAAGACCGAAACAAACCCUCCUCAUAAAAAAAUAAAUAAUGCCAAAUAAAGAUAAAGAAAUAUGGAACCAACGUAACAAGAGUAACCUUCUCUCUUCUCUCUGCUUGGAGGUGUCACAGAGAUCACACAAUAAGUCAUGUGUUGCGUCCCUUGUCCUUCGCCAGUCCGUCCUAAUAUUAACGCUCAGUGGAUGAAAUGAGGUGCUUCCAAUAAACCGAUCGCUUUA